rnacentral:sRNA from 1 species
GUUCCCACCUUGAUGAUAAUGGACUGAACCUCUGAACCUAUGGGCAAAUGGAGGCUCCGAGCAACAGAACGACGCUCCUUUCCUACGCGGAGAAUGAAGCCUUCCCCCACCCUCCCUCCGGACUGCAGAUUCCCAGUGAGCUAUCUCCAGACUGACUUGGGCUUUCUCUUCGGCUCUCGGUGGACAGGGGACUCCGUGCCUCACUCAUCCUGAGCUUCACGUGUCUGAUAGCGAUUGGGAUCAAGUCGGUCUGAUCACUUAGCUAUGCUGGUCACACCCCGUAUCCCAGAACUGUGUUGAAAAAUGCAAUUUGUAACAUCCCAGGUGGAAAAUUUCUGAUUCUCUCUGACGGAGAAUGCCGAGGAGGAUUGGUCUCUAGUCUAGCGGAAAUAUAAACAUCGGUUCUGAGAAUAAAGGAGACUGGGCUUUUCACUGAAUCUGAUGCUCACCAAUUCUGAUCAACUUUUCAGAUACACGUGCAUCUACGUAUGAGCCUGAGGAGUCAGAGGUAUCGGAUACCUGGAGCUGGAGUUAUAGGCCGUUGUGAGCAGCUGCUGUGAGUGCCUAGAAUUAAACACAAGAACAAAGCAUGCCCAUAGCCAUGGAGCCAUUUCUCCAGUCCUGCCAUUGUGUGUUAUGUUCCAUUAAAAUGAGGUUAAGAAAGCCGGAGUGUCCUGGAGAUGGAUGUAAGUGGAGGGGGUAUGCGAGAAGAGCAGCAAAAGAAGUAAAUGGUUUGUUCUGUGCUGACGUCAUUAACCCCACCCACUCAUCCCCCCCAACCCAGUCAGCAUCAUUAGGAAACAGGCAAGGAAGUCUGUUCUACUCCUGUAGAUUACACACUUAGUAUGAACAUCUAGGUCAGGUUUGGGAGGGGAGUUUAAUGCUGUACGUUGUCUAACAGAUUAGUAAUGUCUCGCUCCAAUCAAUGGGAUGGGAAGCUUUUGAAUCACUGGCUAAAGUGAAAGCGUGCUAUAAUUGAUUAGUGAUGUCUGCCUGGGUAAGCAGCAGCAGGCUUGGAAUUUGCCUGAUCUAAAGACCCUGGCUUUGAAGGACACCAUGGU